rnacentral:miRNA from 1 species
UACUGCAUAUCUCUCCA